rnacentral:rRNA from 1 species
UACGUAGGGUGCAAGCGUUGCCCGGAUUUAUUGGGCGUAAAGGGCGCGUAGGCGGCUCGGCACGUCCGUUGUGAAAUCGCCCGGCUCAACUGGGCGGGGUCAGCGGAUACGGCCGAGCUUGAGCAAGCUAGGGGGCAAUGGAAUUCCCGGUGUAGUGGUGAAAUGCGUAGAUAUCUGGAGGAACACCGGUGGCGAAGGCGGCAUCCUGGACCGGUAUUGACGCUGAUGAGCGAAAGCCAGGGGAGCAAACGGG